AAUAAAACACAAACAUGCUGUAGCAUUUUAACAAUGAGUUAAAGACAUAUGAUACCUCAUAGAAAAUUCUGACAAACACUACUUAGAUGUGAUUUUGCCUUUAUGCUAUGAUUUUUUUAAUCCAUUUUAUUUUCAGGACAAUUUCAAAGGAACUGCAGUCUUUGUUCUCUGAUGUCUAGUUUUCAGAAGCCUGAAUAUAAAUUUCUGCACAGCCAAUCUGAAAUGCACAUGAAAGCUGUGAUUAUUCAGAAUUUUACAGAAUAUACUGUGGAUGGAAGCAAGACCUGUUCCUGAAUGAAUGUUUUAUUCAACAAAACUUGCCCAACAUGAGCGUUUUCCAGGCACAAAGAGCAACUGGAUACUUGUCACGGUUUAACCCCACCAGGCAACUAAGAUCCACGCAGCUGCUUGUUCACCCUGCUGCUGGGAUGGGAGAGAGAAUCAGAAGAGUAAAAGCAAGAAAACUUGUGGGUUGAGGUAAAGACAGUUUAACAGGUAAAUCAAAAGACACACACACAAGCAGAGCAAACCAAGGGGUUCAUUCACCACUUCCCAUGGGCAGGCAGGUGUCCAGCCAUCUCCAGGGUAGCAGGGCUCCAUCAUGUGUAAUGGUUGCUUGGGAAGACAAAACACUAUCACUCUGAAUGUUCUCUCCUUCUUUCUUCUUUCCUCAGCUUUAUAUGCUGAGUACAAUGUCAUAUAGUCUGGAACAUCCCUUUGGUCAGCUGGGGUCAGCUGUCCCAGCUGUGACCCCUUCCAGCUUCUUGUGCACCCCAC